AUUGAACGCUGGCGGCAAGCCUAACACAUGCAAGUCGAACGAGUGGCGGAAGGGUGAGUAAUGUCUGGGAAACUGCCUGAUGGAGGGGGAGAACUACUGGAAACGGUAGCUAAUCCCGCAUACCAUCGGAUGUGCCCAGAUGGGAUUAGUUAGUAGGGGGGGGAAAGGCUCACCUAGGCGACGAUCCCUAGCUGGGCUGAGAGGGUGACCAUCCACACUGGAAUUUGGACACGGUCCAGACUCCUACGGGAGGCAGCAGUGGGGAAUAUUGCACAAUGGGCGCAAGCCUGAUGCAGCCAUGCCUCGUGUAUGAAGAAGGCCUUCGGGUUGUAAAGUACUUUCAGCGGGGAGGCGUUACCCGCAGAAGAAGCACCGGCUAACUCCGUGCCAGCAGCCGCGGUAAUUC
rnacentral:rRNA from 1 species